GAUGAACGCUGGCGGCGUGCCUAAUACAUGCCAGUCGAGCGAACGGACGAGAAGCUUGCUUCUCUGAUGUUAGCGGCGGACGGGUGAGUAACACGUGGAUAACCUACCUAUAAGACUGGGAUAACUUCGGGAAACCGGAGCUAAUACCGGAUGAUAUUUUGAACCGCAUGGUUCAAAAGUGAAAGACGGUCUUGCUGUCACUUAUAGAUGGAUCCGCGCUGCAUUAGCUAGUUGGUAAGGUAACGGCUUACCAAGGCAACGAUGCAUAGCCGACCUGAGAGGGUGAUCGGCCACACUGGAACUGAGACACGGUCCAGACUCCUACGGGAGGCAGCAGUAGGGAAUCUCCCGCAAUGGGCGAAAGCCUGACGGAGCAACGCCGCGUGAGUGAUGAAGGUCUUCGGAUCGUAAAACUCUGUUAUUAGGGAAGAACAUAUGUGUAAGUAACUGUGCACAUCUUAACGGUACCUAAUCAGAAAGCCACGGCUAACUACGUG
rnacentral:rRNA from 1 species